rnacentral:lncRNA from 1 species
AAGGGGAAGGCAUCUGUUGGAAUAGAACCUAGGGAAGCAGCGAAAUCUCAUCUCUAUAAACAAUUUAAAAAUUAGCUGGGUGUGGUGGCAUACGCUUGUAGUCCCAACUAUUCAGGAGGCUGAGGUGGGAGGAUCACUUGAGCCUGGGAGGUGGAGGCCGCAGUCAGCUGAGAUCACACCACUGUUCUCCAGCCUGGGUGACAGAUUGAGAUCGUGUCUCAAACAAAAUGAAACAAAACAAAAAAACGAAGAAGUCUGCCAGGUAGCCAGGGUGAUAGAUGCGGAGGCUUGGACACUAGAAUAGGAACAGUGGAGGUGGAGAGAAGUUGAUGUAUAUGAAAUAGAAAUCGCAGGUUAUAGCUAGUGAUGAAUUGGAUGAGGGGUGGAGGGAGAUGGAAGUGUCAAAGAUAAAUUCCGGGGUCUUACACUUUGGAAACCCUGGAUGGAGUGCCACUGAGUGGCAGUGGGAAAGCUGCGGGGAGGCCCUGUUUGGUUGAAGAUAAAGAGUUGAGUUGCAGCACAGUGAGUGAGAGAUGCCUGUCAACCACAAACUGCAAUAGCGGACUCUGGUCAUGAAGGUCAUUAGCAUUUCAAGAGUAGAGAACAGAAAACAAGUCUGGGUUGAAAUAGGGACGUAUUGGGUGUAGACAUUGUAUAUGUUCAUAUAAUGUUCUGAUGGAUCUAAUGGGGUUACUUAAUUAAGUGUGCAUAAAAUCUUGUGGGAGGCUUUACAGACAAGUUAGCCAAGACACAGAUAAGUUAGGUUACGGGCCAAAGUAAUACAGUGAUUGAGCAGUGGAGCUGAAGGAGAUCCAGGCAGCUUGACUGGCAGAGCCCUUUUUCUUCACCACGACAUGGGCAGAGGUUAGAGAGUUUUGCCACACUGGCGGUCGAGUGACACAUCAAGGAGGGAUGUGGUUGCAGCAGGCUAAAGGCCAUAGGAAGGGAGGAGCUGGAGACUCCAGGUCGCAGCCACCUUGGUGGGCUGGGGUGGGGCAGGAGGCCGCAGCAACAGAGACGGGGUGGGAUUGAAGAAGUCUUUUUUUUUUUCUUUUUUAAACAAAAGAAAUAGAACUUGUCUAUAUGCUGGGGUGUGGGAAAGGAGCAAGUAGAUGGAGAGAGGCUGAAGAUACUGCUUCUGGGAGGAGCUGGAGCAGUGAAGUCUGAAAAGUUGAAAGGGAUGAAAUCCUAAGCACACAGGGAGACUGGCUUUUGCUGAGAGGAUGGGCACUCUCUGUGCUGCAAUGGGAAGGAAGAAAGAAGGAGGUGGUGGUUUAGAGCUGCUGUGUACCCAUGACUUGCUCUUACCAUUUAAUGAUGAAGGGGCAGGAGCUAGGAGUGGGAGAGCAGCAGUGAAGAUGGAUAGGAGCAGAGGAAGAGGGAAGGAUGUGUUCACAGGAGAGGCCAAGAGGCAGCGGGGGUGGGAUGAGGGUUGCAAAGCGUGAAUUUAUGCAUUUCUCCAGUCUAGGUUUAGUUAGUAUACUCCCUGUGAAUGUCAAUACCUGUAAAUGAUACUUUUAAUGAAGGGAGAUUAUUCCCUUGAAUGUUUGGUUUGUAUCUUGUCCUAGACCAGAGUUGCCAUUCUCUAAAUAUCUAAAUGACUAUUAUUAUUUUCUCUCUCUCUUUUACACACACACGCGCACACACACACACAGAGAAAUGUUGUUUAUGAGAUUUUGUAUAUUUCACAUACUUCAUAUUCUUUAUAUGAUAGAUGAAUAAUGUGUAGUUUUUCAAAGUUUUGAGUUAAUUACAAUUUAGGUACUAUUUCUAAAAGGAAGAUAUAUUUGUGUUCUUACUUUGGUGGCUGAGAUUACUUAAAGGGGAUAAUUUGCUCCCAAAUUCCUAAGAAUGGUACAGGAAUUCUAAGGUGACUAAUUCUUAUUUCAUUUUUUUAUGAAUACUUUUAUCUUGAAAUGUGUAAUACAAAUCUGGUCAGAGUUCUAUAUAAA